rnacentral:rRNA from 1 species
GCGGCGCUACACUCGCAGUCGAGCGGUAGAGAGAAGCUUGCUUCUCUUGAGAGCGGCGGACGGGUGAGUAAUGCCUAGGAAUCUGCCUGGUAGUGGGGGAUAACGUUCGGAAACGGACGCUAAUACCGCAUACGUCCUACGGGAGAAAGCAGGGGACCUUCGGGCCUUGCGCUAUCAGAUGAGCCUAGGUCGGAUUAGCUAGUUGGUGAGGUAAUGGCUCACCAAGGCAACGAUCCGUAACUGGUCUGAGAGGAUGAUCAGUCACACUGGAACUGAGACACGGUCCAGACUCCUACGGGAGGCAGCAGUGGGGAAUAUUGGACAAUGGGCGAAAGCCUGAUCCAGCCAUGCCGCGUGUGUGAAGAAGGUCUUCGGAUUGUAAAGCACUUUAAGUUGGGAGGAAGGGCAGUUACCUAAUACGUGAUUGUUUUGACGUUACCGACAGAAUAAGCACCGGCUAACUCUGUGCCAGCAGCCGCGGUAAUACAGAGGGUGCAAGCGUUAAUCGGAAUUACUGGGCGUAAAGCGCGCGUAGGUGGUUAGUUAAGUUGGAUGUGAAAUCCCCGGGCUCAACCUGGGAACUGCAUUCAAAACUGACUGACUAGAGUAUGGUAGAGGGUGGUGGAAUUUCCUGUGUAGCGGUGAAAUGCGUAGAUAUAGGAAGGAACACCAGUGGCGAAGGCGACCACCUGGACUGAUACUGACACUGAGGUGCGAAAGCGUGGGGAGCAAACAGGAUUAGAUACCCUGGUAGUCCACGCCGUAAACGAUGUCAACUAGCCGUUGGGAGCCUUGAGCUCUUAGUGGCGCAGCUAACGCAUUAAGUUGACCGCCUGGGGAGUACGGCCGCAAGGUUAAACUCAAAUGAAUUGACGGGGGCCCGCACAAGCGGUGGAAGCAUGUGGUUUAAUUCGAAGCAACGCGAAGAACCUUACCAGGCCUUGACUCCAAUGACUUUCUAAAAAUAGAUUGGUGCCUUCGGGA